rnacentral:rRNA from 1 species
AUUGAACGCUGGCGGCAGGCCUAACACAUGCAAGUCGAGCGGUUGAGGUAGCUUGCUACCGAUGCAGCGGCGGACGGGUGAGUAAUACAUGGGAAUCUGCCUGGUAGUGGGGGACAACGUUUCGAAAGGAACGCUAAUACCGCAUACGCCCUACGGGGGAAAGGGGGGGAUCGCAAGACCUCUCGCUAUCAGAUGAGCCC